rnacentral:lncRNA from 1 species
ACUUUUAGGCUCAGAAGUACAUAUUCAGGUUUGUUGUACAGUUCUGCCCCAUGCCACUCCCCACCACCAUGAGAAAACCAAGAGGACAGGCCUCACUAGGAAAAAAAAAAUUAGCCAGUACCUUGACCUUGGACUUCCCAGCCACCAGAACUGUAAGAAAUCUCCCAGACUUCAUCCUGCUUCAGCUCCUGUCAUCCUGUGCUGUGGAAUUCCUAAACCUCUUAGCUUGAGCCCUGCAACGAUCUGAUUUUCACUCCGUUCUAGGAAGGUUCCAUUCUUCAGUGUGGAGCACAUAUAAGUAAGUGUCUAUUUUUGACUAAAAGAGAUUGCCUCUCAUAGCGAAACCUUGAUAUUGGAGAAAUGAAUGCUAAACAAACGAGCCUAGGACUUCCUGCUCCUUGUUCUUGGGCCUUCAGGUUUGAACUGGACUUAUACCACUGACUCCCUGCUUAGACUAGAACUAUAUCACCAUCUUUCCUGAGCCCCCAGCUUUCAGACAGCAGAUCAUUGGCCUUCCUAGCUUCCACGAUCAAGUUGACCAUCUGGGUGACUGUUCUCCCUUUUUCACUAAAUGCUAUGGUCUGAAUGUCUAUGCUGUCCCAAAAUUUAUAUGUUGAAAACAAAUAAUCAAUGUGAUGGUUUUAGGAGGUGGGGCCUUUGAGAGGCCAUUAUAUCAUGAAGGCAGAACACUCAGGAAUGGGGUCAGUGCCGUUAUAAAAGAUGCCCUGGAGAGACCUUUUGUCCCUUCUACCAGAUUGGAAAAGCAUUGGAAAAUUUGUCCAAAGUCACUCAACAGAUUCAUGAUGGAUCCUGGAUUCACAGCCAGCUUUACUUGGCAAUAAAAUUCAAGUCCUGUUCACAUCACAACACAUUUUUACCGAAAGAAAAAUAUGAUGUGUAGAUGUUUGGAGGCAUCCUAUCUUAAUGAGGCUUUUGUUAGAAAGAGUUUUCUUAAAAUUACAGGGUUGGGGAAAUAAAAAAUGUUUGUUGCUCAGAUUAACAAAAAAAUGGUAUAUAGAAAAUAAAGCUAAGAAAGGAAAGUGCAGACAACCAAGAGACUAGAAUUUUCAAUAAAUGGCAAAAUUGUGGUGUUCUGUGGUUACCUCUUGAAGAUUUGGCCUGAAUCAUGCAACAAUUGCCCCUUACCCUCAGUCCUCAAAUUACAAUAGUGAAAGAGGUUUCUAUAGGUAUUAUAUUUGAAUCUGCUAUAUUUUGUUUAUUACUUGCAAGGACAUAUAGGAGAGCAAAAGUUUUCCCUCUAAUUUCUUAGGUUUAGUAACUGGAACUUGUGAAUUAAACUGGCAAAAUACAGAUUAACAGGAGAAGAGUCAUAGACAUUUUAUUUUAAAUUUCAUAUGCAAUGUAGUUCCAGAGAAAAGAAGUGAAAGCCUGAAGAAGCAAUUAGACUUGAGGAGUUAUAUCUUUAACAAAGGGUGGUGAGUGUAGAGAAGUGACUAGAUUUUUUUUAAGAUGGUUUUAGGCUUCCAAGGGUGAUAAACCAUGGGAAGGAAAAUACAUGAGGGAAACUAAUGGUAUAUAGGAGUUAUUUAGUAAGGUUUGUUUACACAGACUAAUCUCAGUGGUAAGAACGGUUUUUCUCCUUUUUCUGGUCAGGGGAAGGAGAAGGGACACCAUCACAAUGGGAAUUUGUGCUUUGCUGGUAGACAAAUAGGAGCAGAGCAGAGAACUUCUUUCUCUCAAUUGUCUUCAGCUCAGAAUAAUCCUUAUGCCAAACAGGCAUAAUUUGGAAUUACAUAUUUUCAUCCUCUCCACACACAAGCUUCCGUAUAAAGUUCAAAGACAGUAGUAUUUUCUUAUAAUUCACUCUGCCCCAAAUAUUAACUAAGAUGACAUUCUUUUUCCAGCUUGAUUCUGCAACAUUCACUUCCAGAAACUUUAUCACUCUUAAUCCUGGAUUGAAGGAAAAUAUUUGAAUGUGAUAAAGGAUAUAUAUUUUAAAAAGAAAGGAACUAUAAUAAAAGGCAAGAUUCAGAAAUUAUGUUGUAAUCUGUGACUUAGUGCAAUUUAGUCCUUGAAUUUCUUGUGUGCAAUUUAUUGUUCAUUUCCCUUGGUGAACUAACUUUGGUUCAUCGCUUUAUCAUUCUUCUCCAGGCUGUUUUUGAAGGGUCUGUGAGCUGAGAAUGGUUUUUAAUAGAUAAAUGCUCACAAUCAAUUUGGGGAUAAGAAAUAUUAUUUUGAAUCUCAGUUACAAAAAAUGUUAUCCUUCAUAAAAUAAUUCAUUUUUUUCUCAGUAAUAAAAAUGUAUUUCAAAAAUAUGGUGUCCUUAUUAUAUUUUAAAUUUUGCCAAUAAAAAUAAUAAAAAUUGAUUUUCUCUAAUUAUGUA